rnacentral:rRNA from 1 species
UCGUUUAUGGGGGAUAAUUGCAAACCCCAAUCCCCAGCACGAAGGAGUUUCAGCGGGUUGCCCGGGCCUCUAGGCCAGGGAGAACAUGCUGAUUCCUUCAGUGUAGCGCGCGUGCGGCCCAGGACAUCUAAGGGCAUCACAGACCUGUUAUUGCUCAAUCUCGUGCGGCUCGAAGCCGCCGGUCCCUCUAAGAAGAAUUUUAAUACGUCGCCAGUGAGUUGCGCGACAUGAAGCCACGCACGCCUAAAUGGCGACGCCUAUUUAGCAGGCUAGAGUCUCGUUCGUUACCGGAAUUAACCAGACAAAUCGCUUCCCCACUUCCUAGUCCCUCCCACAUUUUUUAACGGUUCUCACCGCGGCCGC